rnacentral:rRNA from 1 species
GGGUUGUGAGGUUAAGCGACUAAGCGUACACGGUGGAUGCCCUGGCAGUCAGAGGCGAUGAAGGACGUGCUAAUCUGCGAUAAGCGCCGGUAAGGUGAUAUGAACCGUUAUAACCGGCGAUUUCCGAAUGGGGAAACCCAGUGUGAUUCGUCACACUAUCAUUACGUGAAUACAUAGCGUAAUGAAGCGAACCGGGGGAACUGAAACAUCUAAGUACCCCGAGGAAAAGAAAUCAACCGAGAUUCCCCCAGUAGCGGCGAGCGAACGGGGAGGAGCCCAGAGCCUGAAUCAGCAUGUGUGUUAGUGGAAGCGUCUGGAAAGGCGCGCGAUACAGGGUGACAGCCCCGUACACAAAAGCGCAUGUGCUGUGAGCUCGAUGAGUAGGGCGGGACACGUGGUAUCCUGUCUGAAUAUGGGGGGACCAUCCUCCAAGGCUAAAUACUCCUGACUGACCGAUAGUGAACCAGUACCGUGAGGGAAAGGCGAAAAGAACCCCGGCGAGGGGAGUGAAAAAGAACCUGAAACCGUGUACGUACAAGCAGUGGGAGCACAGGUUUACCUGUGUGACUGCGUACCUUUUGUAUAAUGGGUCAGCGACUUAUAUUCUGUAGCAAGGUUAACCGAAUAGGGGAGCCGGAGGGAAACCGAGUCUUAAUUGGGCGUUAAGUUGCAGGGUAUAGACCCGAAACCCGGUGAUCUAGCCAUGGGCAGGUUGAAGGUUGGGUAACACUAACUGGAGGACCGAACCGACUAAUGUUGAAAAAUUAGCGGAUGACCUGUGGCUGGGGGUGAAAGGCCAAUCAAACCGGGAGAUAGCUGGUUCUCCCCGAAAGCUAUUUAGGUAGCGCCUCGUGAAUUCAUCUCCGGGGGUAGAGCACUGUUUCGGCUAGGGGGCCAUCCCGGCUUACCAACCCGAUGCAAACUGCGAAUACCGGAGAAUGUUAUCACGGGAGACACACGGCGGGUGCUAACGUCCGUCGUGAAGAGGGAAACAACCCAGACCGCCAGCUAAGGUCCCAAAGUCAUGGUUAAGUGGGAAACGAUGUGGGAAGGCCCAGACAGCCAGGAUGUUGGCUUAGAAGCAGCCAUCAUUUAAAGAAAGCGUAAUAGCUCACUGGUCGAGUCGGCCUGCGCGGAAGAUGUAACGGGGCUAAACCAUGCACCGAAGCUGCGGCAGCGAACGUAUCACCCAAGACAACUUUACGGAGUUGACGAUUGACGGAGCGAAGCGACGUCAAAGCGUUCAUUAAAGUCGAGUUGGCUUAGGGAUACGUUCGUUGGGUAGGGGAGCGUUCUGUAAGCCUG